CGUCUCAAAUGCGCCCCUUCAACAUCUACAUAUACCUGGCAUGGGGGUAUGUUAAGGCACAAUAUGCACCUUAUGAGAUACCCUGGAGUGUCUACUUUUACAAAUGUUAGGCCUUUGUGGGCUUUUUUGAAUAGUCAAACUGUUAUAAUACCCCAAAUGGAAGCAUAGGCUCAUUAAAUCCGUCUCUCAAAAUUCUACUGUGAAUACUGAAAAGAACAGGCCUCCUAUAUGGCACUGUAACUUCACAAAAUAGUGCCAAAGACAUACAAUGGGGGUGUCAUUUUACCCAGCAGAGGUAACUGAACACAAAAUAAAACUUUGUACAGGAAUAGCACACACCAACUUUACAAAAUACACAUGAGAAUUUCUUUGUUAUAAGUUUGUGUGCCAAGAAACAGAAAAAACUAAAUUUUACUCCAAUAUUUAGCAGAGGUUGGCGGUGAAAUGGCU